rnacentral:rRNA from 1 species
AGCAGCUUGCUGCUUUGCUGACGAGUGGCGGACGGGUGAGUAAUGUCUGGGAAACUGCCCGAUGGAGGGGGAUAACUACUGGAAACGGUGGCUAAUACCGCAUAACGUCGCAAGACCAAAGAGGGGGACCUUCGGGCCUCUUGCCAUCAGAUGUGCCCAGAUGGGAUUAGCUUGUUGGUGAGGUAACGGCUCACCAAGGCGACGAUCCCUAGCUGGUCUGAGAGGAUGACCAGCCACACUGGAACUGAGACACGGUCCAGACUCCUACGGGAGGCAGCAGUGGGGAAUAUUGCACAAUGGGCGCAAGCCUGAUGCAGCCAUGCCGCGUGUAUGAAGAAGGCCUUCGGGUUGUAAAGUACUUUCAGCGGGGAGGAAGGUGUUGUGGUUAAUAACCGCAGCAAUUGACGUUACCCGCAGAAGAAGCACCGGCUAACUCCGUGCCGGCGGCGGCGGUAAUACGGAGGGUGCGAUGGGUUCAUCUAGAGUUACUUGCCGUAAAGCGCACGCAGGCGGUCUGUCAAGUCGGAUGUGAAAUCCCCGGGCUCAACCUGGGAACUGCAUUCGAAACUGGCAGGCUUGAGUCUUGUAGAGGGGGGUAGAAUUCCAGGUGUAGCGGUGAAAUGCGUAGAGAUCUGGAGGAAUACCGGUGGCGAAGGCGGCCCCCUGGACAAAGACUGACGCUCAGGUGCGAAAGCGUGGGGAGCAAACAGGAUUAGAUACCCUGGUAGUCCACGCCGUAAACGAUGUCUACUUGGAGGUUGUGCCCUUGAGGCGUGGCUUCCGGAGCUAACGCGUUAAGUAGACCGCCUGGGGAAUACGGCCGCAAGGUUAAAACUCAAAUGAAUUGACGGGGGCCCGCACAAGCGGUGGAGCAUGUGGUUUAAUU